GGAUGUGAGGGUGAUCUGGCUGCAACAUCUGUCACCCCAUCGAUCACCAGGGUUGCCUUGGCUGAUCUUGUUGGCUAGGCAGCUGUUCCCUUCCUCCCUCACUGCUCCAUGUGCCUUCCCCCCAAAGCUUCAUGCACAGUCACAGAGGAUGACCACCCCACAUAGGAGGGCCAGUCAAGGGUACAUGAGCAGCUGCAUUCCCCUGCUAGAACCUCCAAACAAGCUCUCAAAGUGGCUGCACUAUUUUUACUUUCUCAUUUAUAAGGUUCCAAUUU
rnacentral:snRNA from 1 species